AUGAGAACUUGUUCUCAACUGGCUUACCUGGUUAAAUAAAGAUGGUGAGGCUGCUUCUCUCCAGAGGAGCCAACAUUAAUGCCUUUGACAAGAAGGAUCGCCGAGCAAUCCACUGGGCUGCUUACAUGGGGCACAUUGAGGUGGUGAAACUGCUGGCCUCUCAUGGAUCAGAGGUGUCCUGUAAAAACAAGAAGGCCUACACCCCUCUCCACUCUGCAGCCUCCAGUGGAAUGAUCAGUGUGGUCAAGUACCUCCUGGACCUUGGUGUGGAUGUGAGUCAACACGCAUUCAAAUGUGUAGGGGGUUUUCAUAAUAGUAAUGAAGAGAGAGAGGUUAGAGCCAGUGAU